AUUGAACGCUGGCGGCAGGCCUAACACAUGCAAGUCGAGCGGAUGAAGGGAGCUUGCUCCUGGAUUCAGCGGCGGACGGGUGAGUAAUGCCUAGGAAUCUGCCUGGUAGUGGGGGAUAACGUCCGGAAACGGGCGCUAAUACCGCAUACGUCCUGAGGGAGAAAGUGGGGGAUCUUCGGACCUCACGCUAUCAGAUGAGCCUAGGUCGGAUUAGCUAGUUGGUGGGGUAGAGGCCUACCAAGGCGACGAUCCGUAACUGGUCUGAGAGGAUGAUCAGUCACACUGGAACUGAGACACGGUCCAGACUCCUACGGGAGGCAGCAGUGGGGAAUAUUGGACAAUGGGCGAAAGCCUGAUCCAGCCAUGCCGCGUGUGUGAAGAAGGUCUUCGGAUUGUAAGCACUUUAAGUUGGGAGGAAGGGCAGUAAGUUAAUACCUUGCUGUUUUGACGUUACCAACAGAAUAAGCACCGGCUAACUUCGUG
rnacentral:rRNA from 1 species